CUCGCGCAGGCACCAUCAAGCUUAAUCUUCAAGCUAUUAGCCAGUACCCUAGAUAUCUGUAAGUGUUUGUCAAAUAAACGUAGACUAGAUAUAAAAUCGUAUAGAAGACUGGCAUGUGUGCCAGAAAGGAUUGGAAGAAAACUCACCGCAAUAGAAGCAUGGGCUUUAUUUAAACAAUGUACCAGACCAAAUUUAAAAUAUAUUUCUCCCUAAAAAACAUUUUGUACAUGAUAGCAAAUAUAAAAUUCCAAAAAUUUAAUAUUGCAAUGUCAGCAUGAAAGACCAAAAACACAACAGGUAGGUUUUUCUUAAAGCCAUUCAGGUCUUCAAAGAAAAAAAAAAGGUACAAAAAUACAUCUCUAAAAAAUGCCUCACUUCUAGGAGCCAAAAAAACAUUUGGCAACAACAAUUACAUGCACCAGCAGAUGCAUGCAGUGCACCAUCAACAUUUAUAUCUCGGUACAUGCAUGGGACAGUUGAAUCAGAGGCACAUUUCAGGACGUGGCUGUCAAAACAGCAAGUGCACACUGCACACAGGCAGAGUUACGAAGGCACUCAAAGUGGAAGCACUCGGACGGGCAGCACACAGUCCUAACGAUUAUUAUGUGAAACGGGAAGCCUGUCUUAACAGGCAACACAAACUGGAGGACUGAGUGCCACAUACUAUAAGCCAGUGUUGUUUGUUCUCAUGCAGUGAAUAAAGAUGUAAAGCCACUAUGUGAACACAUAAAGACAAAGUACACAUUUUCCGCAGUCCGCUGUCUUAAAACAUAUUUACAUUUGAAAAAUAGGAUUUAACAUUACCAAGUAAUUCAAGGGUUAUGAGAAACCCUGAGUUCCAGAUUUUGACCCCCCCCGAGGUUCUUAAUGUGCACCCAAUGCAUGCAGUCCAUUGACUUCAUGUAUUUUCACAGCAGCUAUAAGACGACUCAUUGCACAGAACUCUGUGAUAAAGCCGCUACUCAAAUACAUGAAGACAAAGACAAGGUACACAUUUUACCUUGUGUAUCUGCCUUGUUUACUCAUGCAGUAGCUUGAAUGCAUUAAAUCUUGAGGUAAAGCUACUGCUCGAAUGCACAAUGACAAAGGAAAUAUGUAUUCUUGGCGUGCCCACACAGUUCUCUUCAUGUGUUUGUGCAUUUCUUUGUCUUAACGUAUUCACACAGUACUUUUACUGUCAAUUUUGAACAAACCAGCACAUGAAAAAGUGCUCUGCAAAAAAAACUUGGAGCUCCAACUGGAUUUGUUGGAUGGUGGCACUCUUGACUACCUAAAGUUAAGACUAAUGUAAGGACUGCUACUUGUACAUGGGCAAAAUCUAAAAACACCCCUUCGAGUCUUUUUUGCUUAUAAGGUUGAGAAUGUCGCUAUUACAUAAUUCUGUAUGGUGCUGUAUGCCAAAUGUUUUUCUUUUUUUUUUGCUUUUUUGUUUUUUGUACUCCACCAAAUUACUAAACCCAUUGUCAGCACAUGAGGCAGCUGUUCCCCCUUUUUUUUUAAUACUGGAUAAAAAAAAAAAUGCAAUGAUGAAGGGAGAUGCUUCUGGCUUCGAUCAGUGCAAGCCACAGUUGGUGAGUGCUUAAGAAAAACUG
rnacentral:lncRNA from 1 species